rnacentral:rRNA from 1 species
UCAGCAGCCGCGGUAAUACGUAGGGUCCGAGCGUUAAUCGGAAUUACUGGGCGUAAAGCGUGCGCAGGCGGUCUUGUAAGCCAGAUGUGAAAUCCCCGAGCUUAACUUGGGAACUGCAUUUGGGACUGCAAGGCUGGAGUACGGCAGAGGGAGGUGGAAUUCCACGUGUAGCAGUGAAAUGCGUAGAGAUGUGGAGGAACACCGAUGGCGAAGGCAGCCUCCUGGGCUAGUACUGACGCUCAUGCACGAAAGCGUGGGGAGCAAACAGGAUUAGAUACCCUGGUAGUCCACGCCCUAAACGAUGACAACUAGUUGUUGGGGAUUUACAUCCUUAGUAACGCAGCUAACGCGUGAAGUUGUCCGCCUGGGGAGUACGGUCGCAAGAUUAAAACUUAAAGGAAUUGACGGGGGCCCGCACAAGGC